UAAAUAACAUUUUGGCAGAAUUUUUGCAAAAGAUUUAGAAUCUUUCCAACCUAUC
rnacentral:tRNA from 1 species